rnacentral:rRNA from 1 species
UACGAGGAUCGAGGCGUAUCGAUUAAUUGGUUUAAGGGUGCGCAGGCGGACCGUGAGUCAGGGGGUGGAAAAUCUACGGCUCAACUGUAGACGUGCCUUUUGAUACUGCCGGACUAGAGUUAAGAUGGAGGGGGUGGAAUGUGUUGUGUAGCGGUGAAAUGCUUAGAUAUAACACAGAACACCGAUCGCGAAGGCAGCUCACUAAACUUUGUCUGACGCUCAUGCACGAAAGCGUGGGGAUCAAACAGGAUUAGAUACCCCGGUAGUCCACGCUGUAAACGAUGAUCACUCGCUGUUGGCGAUAUACCGUCAGUGGCUAAGCGAAAGUGAUAAGUGCUCCACCUGGGGAGUACGACCGCAAGGUUGAAACUCAAAGGAAUUGACGGGGGCCCGCACAAGCGGAGGUGCAUGUGGUUUAAUUCGAUGAUACGCGAGGAACCUUACCAGGGUUCGAACGUACAGCGACUUGUCGAGAAAUCGGCAGUCCCUUCGGGGCGAUGUACGAGGUGCUGCAUGGUUGUCGUCAGCUCGUGCCGUGAGGUGUCAGGUUAAGUCCUAUAACGAGCGCAACCCCUAUCGAUAGUUGCCAGCGGUUAAAGCCGGGCACUCUAUAGAAACUGCCGUACGCAAGUAGAGAGGAAGGUGGGGAUGACGUCAAAUCAGCACGGCCCUUAUGUCCUGGGCUACACACGUGCUACAAUGGUCGGUACAGAGGGUCGCUACCGGGUGACCGGAUGCUAAUCUCAAAAGCCGACCUCAGUUCGGAUCGGAGUCUGCAACCCGACUCCGUGAAGUUGGAUUCGCUAGUAAUCGCGCAUCAGCCAUGGCGCGGUGAAUACGUUCCCGGGCCU